rnacentral:rRNA from 1 species
UGAAUACGAGACGCUACGGCGUCGAAGCAGUCUAUGUCAUACUUCCAAGAAAAGCUUGCACUGUCAUAAACAAAUAAUGCCUGUACCAUAACCGACACAGGUGGGUAGGUAGAGUAUACUAAGGGGCGCGAGAUAACUCUCUCUAAGGAACUCGGCAAAAUGACUCCGUAACUUCGGGAGAAGGAGUGCCUUAUUUAUAAGGUUGCAAUAACAAGAUCCAAGCAACUGUUUAUCAAAAACACAGGUCUCCGCUAAGUCGUAAGACGAUGUAUGGGGGCUGACGCCUGCCCAGUGCCAGAAGGUAAAGAAGUUGGUUAGCAUUAGCGAAGCUGAUAACUGAAGCCCUGGUGAACGGCGGCCGUAACAAUAACGGUCCUAAGGUAGCGAAAUUCCUUGUCGGGUAAGUUCCGACCCGCACGAAAGGCGUAAUGAUUUGGAUACUGUCUCAGAGAGGGGCUCGGUGAAAUAGACUUGUCUGUGAAGAUGCGGACUACCUGCACCAGGACAGAAAGACCCUAUGAAGCUUUACUGUAACUUGAAAUUGAAAUUGGACUUUAUUUGCGCAGUAUAGGUGGGAGGCAUUGAUAAUAUUCUUGCGGGAAUGUUGGAGCCAUCAGUGAGAUACCACUCUUGUAAUGUUAGAUUUCUAACUUUGGAUCAUUAUCUGGUCAAAGGACAGUUUCAGGCGGGCAGUUUGACUGGGGCGGUCGCCUCCUAAAUGGUAACGGAGGCGCACAAAGGUUUCCUCUGAACGGGUAGAAAUCGUAUCUAGAGUGUAAAGGCAUAAGGAAGCUUGACUGUGAGACCUACAAGUCGAGCAGGGACGAAAGUCGGUCUUAGUGAUCUGACGGUGCUGAGUGGAAAGGCCGUCACUCAACGGAUAAAAGUUACUCUAGGAUAACAGGCUGAUCUCCCCCAAGAGUUCACAUCGACGGGGAGGUUUGGCACCUCGAUGUCGGCUCAUCGCAUCCUGGGGCGGUAGUACGUCCCAAGGGUUGGGCUGUUCGCCCAUGAAAGCGGUACGCGAGCUGGGUUCAGAACGUCGUGAGACAGUUCGGUCCAUAUCCGGUGUAGGCGUUAGAAUAUUGAGAGGAGCCUUCUUUAGUACGAGAGGACCGAGAAGGACAUACCUCUGGUGUACCAGUUAUCGUGCCAACGGUAAACGCUGGGUAGCUAUGUAUGGAGAGGAUAACCGCUGAAAGCAUCUAAGUGGGAAGCCCACCUCAAGAUAAGUAUUCUC